rnacentral:rRNA from 1 species
GACGAACGCUGGCGGCGUGCUUAACACAUGCAAGUCGAACGAAGAGCGAUGGAAGCUUGCUUCUAUCAAUCUUAGUGGCGAACGGGUGAGUAACGCGUAAUCAACCUGCCCUUCAGAGGGGGACAACAGUUGGAAACGACUGCUAAUACCGCAUACGAUCUAAUCUCGGCAUCGAGGAUAGAUGAAAGGUGGCCUCUACAUGUAAGCUAUCACUGAAGGAGGGGAUUGCGUCUGAUUAGCUAGUUGGAGGGGUAACGGCCCACCAAGGCGAUGAUCAGUAGCCGGUCUGAGAGGAUGAACGGCCACAUUGGGACUGAGACACGGCCCAGACUCCUACGGGAGGCAGCAGUGGGGAAUCUUCCGCAAUGGACGAAAGUCUGACGGAGCAACGCCGCGUGAGUGAUGACGGCCUUCGGGUUGUAAAGCUCUGUUAAUCGGGACGAAAGGCCUUCUUGCGAAUAGUGAGAAGGAUUGACGGUACCGGAAUAGAAAGCCACGGCUAACUACAUG